GAGCGGCGGACGGGUGAGUAAUGCCUAGGAAUCUGCCUAGUGGUGGGGGAUAACGUUCGGAAACGGACGCUAAUACCGCAUACGUCCUACGGGAGAAAGCGGGGGACCUUCGGGCCUCGCGCCAUUAGAUGAGCCUAGGUCGGAUUAGCUAGUUGGUGAGGUAAUGGCUCACCAAGGCUACGAUCCGUAACUGGUCUGAGAGGAUGAUCAGUCACACUGGAACUGAGACACGGUCCAGACUCCUACGGGAGGCAGCAGUGGGGAAUAUUGGACAAUGGGCGAAAGCCUGAUCCAGCCAUGCCGCGUGUGUGAAGAAGGUCUUCGGAUUGUAAAGCACUUUAAGUUGGGAGGAAGGGUAGUAACUUAAUACGUUGCUACUUUGACGUUACCGACAGAAUAAGCACCGGCUAACUUCGUGCCAGCAGCCGCGGUAAUACGAAGGGUGCAAGCGUUAAUCGGAAUUACUGGGGCGUAAAAGCGCGCGUAGGUGGUUCCAGUAAGUUGAAUGUGAAAUCCCCCGGGCUCAACCCUGG
rnacentral:rRNA from 1 species